UCCGUAGGUGAACCUGCGGAGGGAUCAUUACCGAGUUAUACAACUCAUCAACCCUGUGAACAUACCUAAACGUUGCUUCGGCGGGAACAGACGGCCCCGUAACACGGGCCGCCCCCGCCAGAGGACCCCCUAACUCUGUUUCUAUAAUGUUUCUUCUGAGUAAAACAAGCAAAUAAAUUAAAACUUUCAACAACGGAUCUCUUGGCUCUGGCAUCGAUGAAGAACGCAGCGAAAUGCGAUAAGUAAUGUGAAUUGCAGAAUUCAGUGAAUCAUCGAAUCUUUGAACGCACAUUGCGCCCGCCAGUAUUCUGGCGGGCAUGCCUGUUCGAGCGUCAUUACAACCCUCAGGCCCCCGGGCCUGGCGUUGGGGAUCGGCGGAGCCCCCCGCGGGCACACGCCGUCCCCCAAAUACAGUAGCGGUCCCGCCGCAGCUUCCAUUGCGUAGUAGCUAACACCUCGCAACUGGAGAGCGGCGCGGCCACGCCGUAAAACCCCCAACUUCUGAACGUUGACCUCGAAUCAGGUAGGAAUACCCGCUGAACUUAAGCAUAUCAAUAAGCGGAGGA
rnacentral:rRNA from 1 species